GACGUAGGGCGCGAGCGUUGUCCGGAUUUAUUGGGCGUAAAGAGCUCGUAGGCGGCCUGUCGCGUCGUCCGUGAAAACUUGGGGCUCAACCCCAAGCUUGCGGUCGAUACGGGCAGGCUCGAGUUCGGUAGGGGAGACUGGAAUUCCUGGUGUAGCGGUGAAAUGCGCAGAUAUCAGGAGGAACACCGGUGGCGAAGGCGGGUCUCUGGGCCGAUACUGACGCUGAGGAGCGAAAGCGUGGGGAGCGAACAGG
rnacentral:rRNA from 1 species